AUUGAACGCUGGCGGCACGCCUUACACAUGCAAGUCGAACGGCAGCAUGGAGAGCUUGCUCUCUGAUGGCGAGUGGCGAACGGGUGAGUAAAGCAUCGGAACGUACCGUGUAGUGGGGGAUAACGUAGCGAAAGUUACGCUAAUACCGCAUACGCACUGAGGUGGAAAGCAGGGGAUCGUAAGACCUUGCGCUAUCCGAGCGGCCGAUGUCAGAUUAGCUAGUUGGUAGGGUAAGGGCCUACCAAGGCGACGAUCUGUAGCGGGUCUGAGAGGAUAAUCCGCCACACUGGGACUGAGACACGGCCCAGACUCCUACGGGAGGCAGCAGUGGGGAAUUUUGGACAAUGGGGGCAACCCUGAUCCAGCCAUGCCGCGUGAGUGAAGAAGGCCUUCGGGUUGUAAAGCUCUUUCGGCCGGGAAGAAAUCGCACAGGCUAAUACCCUGUGUGGAUGACGGUACCGGCAUAAGAAGCACCGGCUAACUACGUGCCAGCCGCCGCGGUAA
rnacentral:rRNA from 1 species